CCUAAAGCCAUACUUCCCCUCUCUGAUAACCAUGCCACGCGAUGUCAUCAUCUUAAUUUUUAAGCUUCAAAAAGAAAGUAUAAUAGCCCAAAAACUUCAUUUACCAUGGGUCUACCAUCUCUGGCAAAAUAUUUUUAGGCUUUGCGUGCCUGUGGGGUUUCUGUCUUGUGGGUGCGCUACCGUUUGUCUGCCGCCGAGGCGAGUUCAAGGCAUGACAUGAUUCAACUUACUUGCGGGUAUAAUUAGUGGGCUUGAUCCCAAGGACAAUUUGCAUCUUAUGUGAACUUAAUUGCUGGUAUGGUCGGCUUGGAGAAGGCCCAGGAGAUAUGUUGUCCUUAAUCUACACUUUGUUAAAGGUCACUAUUGUUGACAUAUAAGUAUAUAUAUAUAUGUGUGUGUUUUAGUGCACUAGUAGUAUCAUAUAUGAAAUGCAAAAGUAUAUUAAUAAAUACACAUUUUUUGUGAGA